rnacentral:rRNA from 1 species
GACGAACGCUGGCGGCGUGCUUAACACAUGCAAGUCGAACGGUGAAGCCCCUUCCUUUUGGUGGGUGUGGAUGAGUGGCGAGCGGGUGAGUAACACGUGAGUAACCUGCGCCCUUCUUCUGACUAACCGCAUGAAAGUGUGGCUAAUACUGGAUAUUCUGUCCCUGCUGCAUGGUGGGUGUGGGAACGGUGGGCUUUUGGGUGUUUUUGGUGGGGCAUGGGCUCGCGGGGGAUCAGCUUGUUGGUGGGUUGAUGGCGUAGCCAGGCGGUGAGGGUUAGCCGGGCUGAGGGGGGGGACGGUAACAGUGGGACUGAGACACGGGCCAGACUGCUACGGGAGGCAGCAGUGGGGAAGAUUGCACAAGGGGCGCAAGCCUGAUGCAGCGACGCCGCGUGAGGGAUGGAGGCCUGCGGGUUGUAAGCCUCUGUCGCCAGUGAAGCAGGCCUGUCCCUUGUGGGUGGGUUGACGGUAGCUGGAUAAGAAGCGCCGGCUAACUACGUG